rnacentral:misc_RNA from 1 species
UCUUCUUCUUUUUUUCACUCUAGCUACUGUCUCUUUGUCUUCCACAGAAACCCUUUCACAGCAUUUGCUAGGGUUUAAGGAAUCUUCGAGUACAUACUGUAGUUGUUGUUAGCCUUACGAGAUCAACUAAAAUGCAGCCCUAUGGAAUUCAAUCAAUGCUGAAAGAAGGGCACAAGCAUCUUUCAGGUCUCGACGAAGCUGUUCUAAAAAACAUCGAUGCUUGUAAACAGCUCUCCACUAUUACUCGAACUUCUCUCGGCCCAAAUGGCAUGAAUAAGAUGGUUAUCAAUCAUCUGGACAAGCUCUUUGUCACGAAUGAUGCUGCCACUAUUGUGAAUGAGCUUGAGGUCCAGCACCCUGCUGCAAAGAUAUUGGUUUUGGCCGGAAAGGCACAGCAAGAGGAGAUUGGUGAU